rnacentral:tRNA from 1 species
CAUUAGGUGACUGAAAGAAAGUAGUGGAAUUUUAAACCAUAAAAUAAUAAGUUAACGUUUAUUACUAAUGA